rnacentral:sRNA from 9 species
GAAGGAUAACGUUGCGUCAGCAACGGCCCGUAGGGCGAGGCGAAGCCGAGUCAUCCUGCACGACCCACCA